UGUGGUGCGUGCCUGGUCUCAGGCCUAUCCGAAGAUCGGAAAUAAUGAGCUCAGAGCUCGUUCCGUAGGGUAACGUCUGGCUGUCUCGUCAGAGACUGCAGCAGAUCAAACAGUGAAACACACACGACAGUCAUGGAAAGAGUUUUGCCGUGCCCACUACCGCUGCUGCUGCUGUUGCUGCUGCUGGCGCUAAGUCCAGGAUGGGCACCAAGCUCCACUCUGGCCCAGAACUGCAGUGCUGCUGACGCAGUAGUGAAGGAAGGACAAACACAGGUCAUCAACACCACACAGGUUAUCCUGGACGCUGAACGAUAUGUUUAUGAAGCCAGGAAGUGACUUUGAGGGCGUCCAUCUUGAUGUGCAGGCGAGUAACGGCACCCACCUCACUGCCUGGUUCCCUGCCGAGGAGGAAUGUUUCCCGUGGGAUGGCACGUGGCUGCAGUACAAGGCACGAGCAUGAAAAACCAAGACUGGGCUUUAUUUGGGCUUUAUGUGUGGUAGAUGCUGGAAGGAGUGCUGGAUCAAGGCUUUCCGGCUAAGCCUCAAGAGUCAUAGCGUGGUGGCUCACGGCCCGUCCAGAUGGAGAACAGAAAAGCCACCCAAAGGCUGCAGCGUCACCAUGAUGAAGCUUUCCCGCCGCGACCAACUGCUCGCCUGCCAGCAGCCUCCCUCCACCACCGCCAGCGUCACCACCACCAUCACCACCACCACCGCCACCACCACCACCAACACCAUCCCCACCGCCACUACCACCACUACUACCGACACCACCACCACCGCCACCACAGACAUCACCGACACCACCACCACAACCACCACCACUACGACUUCAGGGACGCUUUGGACUACUAAGCUGACACAGGACAACAUAAUAACCAUCUAACCAUCGCGGCGUCAGCAGCAGCAGUGUUAUUGUUGUUGCUAAUAGUGCUGGUGGUGGCGGCGGUCUGUAAGGCCGCUGUCACAUAGAGAUAUACUAUAAGGCAGGGGCAGGCAACCUUUUUAGAGUGAGUGCCAGAUGAGACUCUUGGAAGGAGGUCGCGGGCCGGAGUGAAAAACGAAAUCUCAGACAAAUGCAUGGAAUACUAUAGUAAUAAAAGAAAACGUAUGCACACACGACUACUACUACAACUACUACUACUAAUAAUAAUAAUAAUCAUAAUAAUAAUAAUAAUAAUGAAAUGUAAAGUAAUUCAAUAGUAUAAUUUAUUCAUUUAAAAACUUAAAAUUUAUUAGAGUUUCUUCUCUACUUUUAGUGGGAGGUCCGCGGGCCGGAUUGCAUUAAUAAAGCCUAGCAGGGUGGCGGGCCGGACGCUAAGCCUUCGCGGGCCGGAUGUGGCCCACGGGCCGGAGGUUGCCCGCCCCUGCUAUAAGGGUGAUCGAUCAGGUUCUGAAAUGUGGUGUGGAGCUCCCCCAACUCAGGUCUCAUUUGGAAGUGCUGUCGUACCCAUGCCCUUCUUUUCUUCACAUGUGUCUCCUCAGCCUCCAUCAGUAAAAGAAGAGCCAAAUCUUCUUCUGAAGAAUCCAUGUUGACGGCACCCAAAAGAAUCAAAUGGGGUGAAGUUCCAGUCCCCGCCUAUCGUGGCCAGCCGCCCCCUGCAGUCCAUAUCUGGUCAGGAAAACUUCUCAGACCAAGACCAGGAAGGCUUUUAUUACCAAAUCCUGUCUGACCGCUCAGCACGCAGAGUGGCGGUGCCGCAGCCUACACAAUCUGAGCCUACCGCCCCUUGCAGGCUGCAGCCCACCGCCGAUGAGAGGCACAUCCCAGACCAGGACGGACCACACACAUCUAUUACGAAAUCCUGCCUGAACUCUCAGCACGCCGAGUGGUGUUUCUUCGGCCUGCACUGCACUCCACGCAACCCUUGCAUGGCGAGACACUGCCUCAAUACGCCGCGCUGCCUCGCUAACCUUUUUACGAGAACGUGCCUCCUACUGGUGGCAGCGCCUCCCUUCACGGGCACCUGGAGAAUCCGGAAGUCCGUGAGUCACACCUCUACGCCACGGUGCUGUAGGCAGUCAGCAUCAUGCACUGCUGAGUGGAAUAUACAACCGCAAGACUGUAAGGAAAUUCAUUUGUGUGUUCUGUAAAGGAACAUCAUGUAUAAGCAGCAUGUUAACUUACCGUCACGCCAGGAAUCUCUCUCUCUCUUUCCCCCCACUCUCUCUCUCUCUCUCUCUCUCUCUCUCUCUCUCUCUCUCUCUCUCUCUCUCUCUCUCUCUCUCUCUCUCUCUCUGACUGGUUUUAAUUAAAGCAUAACACUCGUGAAUUUCUUUUCUCUCAAAUCUCUAGUCACAAGUUCAUGAAG
rnacentral:lncRNA from 1 species